GAUGAACGCUAGCUACAGGCUUAACACAUGCAAGUCGAGGGGUAACGAGAGGAAAGCUUGCUUUCCUUGUCGACGACCGGCGCACGGGUGAGUAACGCGUAUCCAACCUGCCCCCAACUAGGGAAUAACCUUGCGAAAGUAAGACUAAUACCCUAUAAUUUCCUCAGAUGUCAUCUGACGAGGAAUAAAGAUUUAUCGGUUGUGGAUGGGGAUGCGUCUGAUUAGCUUGUUGGCGGGGUAACGGCCCAACAAGGCAACGAUCAGUAGGGGUUCUGAGAGGAAGGUCCCCCACAUUGGAACUGAGACACGGUCCAAACUCCUACGGAGGCAGCAGUGAGGAAUAUUGGUCAAUGGGCGGAAGCCUGAACCAGCCAAGUAGCGUGCAGGAUGACGGCCCUAUGGGUUGUAAACUGCUUUUAUACAGGAAUAAAGUUAGCCACGUGUGGUUAUUUGUAGGUACUGUAUGAAUAAGGACCGGCUAAUUCCGUGCCAGCAGCCGCCGUAAAAC
rnacentral:rRNA from 1 species